GGGCCCAUAGCACAAUUGGCAGUGCACUUCGUUUGCAACGAAGAGGUUAGGAGUUCGAGCCUCCUUGGGUCCA
rnacentral:tRNA from 2 species